UCAAGUCGGCGAUUUCCACGGCGGCUUCAGAAAAGGACACGCGGAAAUGUUGAAAGUGUGAUUUGGAGCAGAAUCCGUGACGGCCGAAGGUGGUCGAGCUUAGUGACGGUAGAGGCGGCGAGUAAGUUUUGUGGGUUUAUGAAAAAAAAAGGAAAAGAGACGGAGGGUUUCGGUGGUUGAGCGAUUUGGGUUGUUCUGCGGAGGUGUAAUGAUGGAAGAUGGUGGUCGAUGAAGGUUGAUGGUCGAUGAAGGUCGAAGGUUUGUGUGGU
rnacentral:lncRNA from 1 species